rnacentral:misc_RNA from 1 species
GAUGAAGAACGUAGCGAAAUGCGAUAAGUAAUGUGAAUUGCAGAAUUCAGUGUAUCAUCGAAUCUUUGAACGCACCUUGCGCCUUUUGGUAUUCCGAAAGGCACACCUGUUUGAGCGUCAUGAAUACCUCAAUCUCCAUCUUUUCUUCGGAUUGAUGGGUGACUUGGAUGUUGAGCCCUGCUGGUAUGCUAUAUCAGCUGGCUUUAAACUUAUUAGCCGGCUCUGUACUGGAUCGGUUUGACUCGACGUGAUAAUAUUAUCGUUGAGGAUGCAUGUCUCAUGCAGCCGGAAAGUAUCAAAGCAGCUUCUAGCUUGCCUUUAGUGCACUUUUACAUUUUAGACCUCAGAUCAGGUGGGACUACCCGCUGAACUUAAGCAUAUCAAUAAGCGGAGGA